rnacentral:rRNA from 1 species
GAUGAACGCUAGCGGCAGGCUUAACACAUGCAAGUCGAGGGGCGGCAUAAAUAGUAGCAAUACUAUUGGUGGCGACCGGCGGACGGGUGCGUAACGCGUAUACAACCUUCCCUAAACAGGGGGAUAAGCUGGAGAAAUUCGGUCUAAUACCCCAUAACAUCAGAGCAGGCAUCUGUUUUGGUUAAAAUUUCCGGAGGUUUAGGAUGGGUAUGCGUAGCAUUAGCUAGUUGGUGAGGUAACGGCUCACCAAGGCGACGAUGCUUAGGGGGACUGAGAGGUUAACACCCCACACUGGUACUGAGACACGGACCAGACUCCUACGGGAGGCAGCAGUGAGGAAUAGUGGUGAAUGGGCGGAAGCCUGAACCAGCCAUGCCGCGUGCAGGAUGACGGCUCUAUGAGUUGUAAACUGCUUUUGUACGAGGGUAAAGUGGGCUACGUGUAGCCUUUUGAAAGUAUCGUACGAAUAAGGAUCGGCUAACUCCGUGCCAGCCGCCGCAGUAA